rnacentral:rRNA from 1 species
GAUGAACGCUGGCGGCGUGCUUAACACAUGCAAGUCGAACGGGGUACCCCCAAAGGAGUUUUCGGACAACUGCGGGGAAUACCUAGUGGCGGACGGGUGAGUAACGCGUGAGUAACCUGCCUUGGAGUGGGGAAUAACAGAUGGAAACAUCUGCUAAUACCGCAUAAAGCAGUUGGGAGACAUCUCCCUGACUGCCAAAGAUUUAUCGCUCUGAGAUGGGCUCGCGUCUGAUUAGCUGGUUGGCGGGGUAACGGCCCACCAAGGCGACGAUCAGUAGCCGGACUGAGAGGUUGGCCGGCCACAUUGGGACUGAGACACGGCCCAG